rnacentral:rRNA from 1 species
CACCAGACUCCUACGGGAGGCAGCAGUGAGGAAUAUUGGUCAAUGGCCGAGAGGCUGAACCAGCCAAGUCGCGUGAGGGAAGACGGCCCUACGGGUUGUAAACCUCUUUUGUCGGGGAGCAAAGCGAGUCACGUGUGACUCAUUGAGAGUACCCGAAGAAAAAGCAUCGGCUAACUCCGUGCCAGCAGCCGCGGUAAUACGGAGGAUGCGAGCGUUAUCCGGAUUUAUUGGGUUUAAAGGGUGCGUAGGCGGAAUGCCAAGUCGGGGGUAAAAUCGCGGGGCUCAACCUCGCUCCGCCGUUGAAACUGCAUCCCUUGAGUGCGCGAGAAGUAUGCGGAAUGCGUGGUGUAGCGGUGAAAUGCAUAGAUAUCACGCAGAACUCCGAUUGCGAAGGCAGCAUACCGGCGCGCAACUGACGCUCAUGCACGAAAGCGUGGGUAUCGAACAGGAUUAGAUACCCUAGUAUAU